GCUCUAUUUUUCUCAACAUUUGGGCCCUAUAUUGAGGGGGCCGGUUCGCCGGCUAUGGAAAUAAAUUGCCGUCGCAAUAAACCGUUCGGACCCGGGGGCAGCACCCGGCGCCUCCACCCAAGCCCGCCCGCGAAAAGCGCGGGUUUCGGCGGGGGCGAAACAGGAUCGACGAGGGCGUAAAGGGCGUGUUUUUUCCCGGUAUGGUUCCGCCGUUAUCGGGCUAUGCAAUAGUUGCAAACGACAACUAUGCUCCGGUUGCUCAGGCCGCGUAAGCGGUUUGAAAAACCAAGUCUAAAGUCCUGAUGGGUUAAGCUCCAUUUGGCGGGGUUCGGAGGCACCUGGCAACAGAAGCCUCCACU
rnacentral:tmRNA from 1 species